rnacentral:rRNA from 1 species
UACGUAGGGUGCAAGCGUUAAUCGGAAUUACUGGGCGUAAAGCGUGCGCAGGCGGUUUUGUAAGUCUGUCGUGAAAUCCCCGGGCUCAACCUGGGAAUUGCGAUGGAGACUGCAAGGCUAGAAUCUGGCAGAGGGGGGUAGAAUUCCACGUGUAGCAGUGAAAUGCGUAGAGAUGUGGAGGAACACCGAUGGCGAAGGCAGCCCCCUGGGUCAAGAUUGACGCUCAGGCACGAAAGGCGUGGGGAGCAAACAGG